CUCAUAUUCAGUUAUCUGCAUAUGAUAUCAAACCAAAUACUAAACAUAAAAAUUAAUAAUAAGAUAAUGGCUUUAUAAGCCUAAACAGACCGGAAAAAAAGAACAAAAUUGGCUUGAAAUUCUGAGGUGUUGUAAUAUUGAUUAAAUUGACUUACAGGGAAAUUAGUAGUAGUGGUAGUUCCCCAAUACUUGAGUGCGGCUAAAUCAUACGCCCUAGCUGCUUUUUCUUCUUUGUCAUAACCUCCUGCAUGCAUGAUCAGAUUAAAAAUGAAUUAGACUACAGAUUUACUUGGAUUAUAAGUACAUUAUUAUUUAUUCAUAGCUUUGUUCAACUUAUACUUACCCAAAUAAACUGAGUAGAGAACCAUCAGGUUAGAACACCCAUGAAAAAAAAACCUAGAUUAGUUGGAAAGUAAAUGGUGAAUGAAAAAUGACAAAUCAUAAAU